AUACAAAAUAAAUUCGUGUUCGGGUCGGGUUCGGGUUCGGGUCGGGUACAGUCAAAAUCCAUAUCCGAAUCCAUAUCCAUUUAGCAUCGGAUAUAUCCGUUUCAUUCGGGUUCGGGUUUGGAUAAAAUUUCGGAUAUCCAUACCUAUUGACAUCCCUACAUUCAUUUUCUUCUACAAAGAUUAAUUCUUCCUACUGUUAUACUUUCAAUUUAAUUUUUUUUUUCUCAACUCUCAAGUUUACUUUGCAAAUAUUUUUUAUUUUUUUCAAUAUAUAAUUUUUUACAAAGUCUCUCCACAAUUUCACCACACAAAAUUUCAAUUUCAACACAAUAAUUAAUCUCUUUUUUAUUAGUUUUUUUAAUUUUAAAUAUUUUUAUUUAAUUACUUUUAGUAUUAUUGUAUUUUUUUUUAUAACAAUGUCGGGUGAAUUUUCUUAUAUAGAUUUUUUUUACACUGAUUAUACUCCUGAGUAUUAUGUUAGUAAUUAAUCAAAAAUUGCAACUGGUGGUUCUACACAAGGUGACGACAGCUUGUGAUAGUUUCGGUAGAAUAGAUCAUCUUAACAGGCAUAUUCAAAAACAUCAGAUAAAAGAAGGUAAAGAUGUAACGAUCCAGCCCACUAGCAACAAUAACUCGUUAGGCCUAACCCAAAAUACUUAAGCCCAGUUAUUAUUAGUAGUGUCUAAGUCUCUUAUAUACCCAAUCACAUCCUAGCUAGUGUCUAAGUCUCUUAUAUACCCAAUCACAUUCUCAUUCAUAUCCGAUGUUUAGACCCUGACAUCCUCGUCGGAUCCAAACCAAAUGCAUGUGACAGACUCCCCCUGUUUAGACCCUAACGUUCUCGUCGGGUCCAAAUCAAAUCACAGACAGACCAGGACCAGAAUUACAAGGCGAUAUGAGAUUCUUGAGAUGGCUCAUAUGGGUUCAAGAGAUGGCUCCCACCAAAUCCGUUGGUGUAGCACUUUGCUCCGCAUAGCACUUAGCUCUCACACUUCGACUGGUAUUCAGCUCUGAUACUAAAUAUAACGACCCGACCCGCUAACAACAAUAACUUGUUGGGCCCAAACACCGGCCCAAAAUGCUUAAGCCUAGUUAUUAUUACUAGUGUCUAAGUUUCUUAUAUACCCAAUCACAUCUCCAUUCAUAUCUGAUGUGGGAUUAUUGGGGUGUGACAUGCUACCUUGGAAAUUUCACAGGCUUAUUAUUUUGAU
rnacentral:lncRNA from 1 species